CCUACGGGAGGCAGCAGUGGGGAAUUUUGGACAAUGGGCGAAAGCCUGAUCCAGCCAUGCCGCGUGAGUGAAGAAGGCCUUCGGGUCGUAAAGCUCUUUUAGUCGGAAAGAAAGAGUUGCAAUGAAUAAUUGUGAUUUAUGACGGUACCGACAGAAAAAGCACCGGCUAACUACGUGCCAGCAGCCGCGGUAAUACGUAGGGUGCGAGCGUUAAUCGGAAUUACUGGGCGUAAAGGGUGCACAGGCGGUCUUGCAAGUCAGAUGUGAAAGCCCCGGGCUUAACCUGGGAAUUGCGUUUGAAACUACAAGGCUAGAGUGCAGCAGAGGGGAGUGGAAUUCCAUGUGUAGCAGUGAAAUGCGUAGAAAUGUGGAAGAACACCGAUGGCGAAGGCAGCUCCCUGGGUUGACACUGACGCUCAUGCACGAAAGCGUGAGGAGCAAACAGGAUUAGAUACCCUGGUAGUCCACGCCCUAAACGAUGUCAACUAGUUGUCGGAUCUAAUUAAGGAUUUGGUAACGUAGCUAACGCGUGAAGUUGACCGCCUGGGGAGUACGGUCGCAAGAUUAAAACUCAAAGGAA
rnacentral:rRNA from 1 species